rnacentral:rRNA from 1 species
AAGUUUGAUCCUGGCUCAGAGUGAACGUUGGCGGCGUGGAUUAGGCAUGCAAGUCGAGCGAUCGUAGCAAUACGGGAGCGGCAAACGGGGUAGGAAUACAUCGGAACGUACCUUUUGGUUGAGAAUAGCGUUGGGAAACUGACGGUAAUACUCAAUAAAGUCGAGAGACCAAAGGUUUACUGCCGGAAGAGCGGCCGAUGCGAUAUUAGGUAGUUGGUGGGGUAAUGGCCUACCAAGCCUGAGAUGUCUAGGGGGUGUGAGAGCAUGGCCCCCACCACUGGGACUGAGAUACUGCCCAGACACCUACGGGUGGCUGCAGUCGAGGAUCUUCGUCAAUGGGCGAAAGCCUGAACGAGCGACGCCGCGUGCGGGAUGAAGGCCCUUGGGUUGUAAACCGCUGUCAGGGGGGAUGAAACCGUAAGGUUGACAGAGCCCCAGAGGAAGCACGGGCUAAGUUCGUG